rnacentral:rRNA from 1 species
CCUACGGGGCGCAGCAGUGGGGAAUAUUGCACAAUGGGGGAAACCCUGAUGCAGCGACGCCGCGUGAGCGAGGAAGUAUUUCGGUAUGUAAAGCUCUGUCAGCAGGGAAGAAGAAUGACGGUACCUGAAGAAGAAGCACCGGCUAAAUACGUGCCAGCAGCCGCGGUAAUACGUAUGGUGCAAGCGUUAUCCGGAUUUACUGGGUGUAAAGGGAGCGCAGGCGGUCUGUUAAGUAAGCGGUCAAAGCCCGGGGCUCAACCCCGGCCCGCCGUUGAACCUGGCAGUCUCGAGUUGGGGA